rnacentral:lncRNA from 1 species
CUUUUCUCUUGUUGAGUGCAAAUGGAGAACAGCUGCUCAUGCUCAUCGUCUGACAUCAGCUAUUUCUCAGGAUGACCCUGCGAGACGGGCCAGGGUCAUUAGACCCAAUUUGGUGCUCAGCAAAUAUGUGCUUAUUCCUGCAUGCGUGGGCCACAGGCUGGUUUCUUGGGUGCAAUGAAUAGCUGCAGGUUUAUUAGGGUGUCUUUUUAGAUGGAUGUAUGUUUCCCGAUGUCUAUAGAACACUCCGGACCCUGGAGAGCGAAGACUCUGACUGUUGGACUUGCCUUGAGAAGAUCCUUCUCCACCUCCCCGUGGCAGAAGUUGCUUCACAGAGGGGAACAGUUUUAUGGAUGUGGCUGAGACCUUAAACUUCAGGCAAUUCAUCUGAGGUGGCAUCCAGAGGAGACUGGCUGGCCCUUCCUUCACCUUGGAUGUAGCACUGUUUCUAGGAUCUCUUUUCAAUCAGUAAGACAGGGGAUGUUCCAAGAGGGUAUGUGGAUUCCCUGCCAUCCCACAUGGUCAAGUGGAGGGGAUGGGAAAAAGCCAUGAAGGGUUUGUGACCACACAGAGACUCUCCUGGCCCCCUGUCCUUUUGGAAAGAAGACAGAGAUGAAAUAUAAUCAAGCAAUUAACCACCCCCAUCAUCACCAAGAACAACAGUAUCAACAACAAGAACAGGGACAACAAAACCCACGGAUGAAACAUUCCUUUCUCAGCUCAGAUCUUAUCUGGUGUGCUCUCUCUCUGCUCUGUCUUGGUGUGUGGUUUAGAGAAACAUGGGCAACGCUGUUUGGAAGAACAGGUGAACGAGGGUGGGGAAUUUCAGAGGCCUGGGCCCACCGCCUCCACCCCUUCCCCAGUUUAACCUUUGACAGGAUCUUCACCUCUCUCUGAUCAGCAUUGCUUCUUGUUCAAAGGCCUCAGCCACCCAGCUGUGUCCCUCUCCCCAGAAGGCAAGGGCAGAUGACAGUGGGUCUGCUUGAUGAGAGAAUUUUAAGGGCCCAAUCAGUCCCUGGGCACCCCCUCCUGGGCUCGUUUUCUCCAGGAGGCUGCAUUCUGAUCCAUAAACCUUCUCCUCAGGGUUUAGGGUCGAGUUGUUCCUGAUGUUUAUCGGAGGCUGGGAUCAAAGCUCUCCAGGUCAUAAAUCUCUCUCUGUGGCUGUUGGGCCCCAGGGCAGCUGAAGAGGGUUGACAGCCCUUUGGACCUCAAAGGAAAAAAUGUGCUCUACUCCACCCACUCUCAGCUCUGCCAAGAAGCUGUCCUCUGAGAAGCCAUGGCUGGGCUGUUCCAUUCCGGGGAGCUGCUGAAAAGAGCUGGGAGGCCGAGAAGAACUUGUGUGUGCUGGGGGAGAGGAAGCCCGGCCUUGAGGGAGGGGUGCAGGUGUGGCUCCUCUGUGUGUGGGGGCUGGGGGACCUUGUGUGCCUUUUCCUUGUGGCUGUGAAAUGCUUUAUGAGUACUUCCAUAGGUGGAUGGACAGGGGGUGGGGGAGAUAAACUCAGCCACAAGGUCCCAGGGCCCCAGGUAACUUGCACCCAACCCUCUCAUUUUACAGAAGAAAACUGUGCCUGGAAGGUUGAAGGGUUUGUUCCCAGUCACACAACCAGGGAUCCUUAGGACAGCCAAACCAGGAAACCAUUUCCAAACUGCCAAUCCAUGGCAGAGUAUCAAGACCCCAGGAACCAUCGAGACACCAUGGAAGCAUCGAGAAAGGGGUCCUUAGCUUUUGAAGCUCCUCACUGUUCUUGAGUGUGCACGGAGCCCAUGACUGCGGGGUUUUGUAGACACCUCAGGGAUUACAUGACUGGUACCCCUGACAAAGUCAAGGCUGCUGGACAAAAUGAGUCCGAGGAUUUCAGGGGCAGCUGGGCGCAGGAGCUGUUGGGCUGUUGGGAGUGCCCCCUUACUGGGCAGGCUUCCUUCCUCCUGGUGAUGGGGGGUUCCUCAGCACAAAGGUGAAGGGGUGGAGGGACUGGAGCAGCAGGAAUCUCUCUUGUUGAUAGGUAUGAGGCCUUGAAGUCCUUUCUUUGUCCCAGGAUUCAUGGAAGCUUCGGGGCUGAUCUUUGAGUUUUGAAGCAUGGGGUGCAGAGACGUUUAGGCAAACUCUUACCAUCCUCUCUCUUCGUCAGGGCUUCCCAGGAAUCAACAAUGCCCAUGAAGGAAGGGAUUAUAGAAAUAGCUUAACCCUUUCAUUUACCAAUGUGGAAAUUGAAGCCCAGGGAAGGGAAGGGACUGGUCGUGGAAGGGAGAGCCAUCAGUAGAAAGAGACCCUGAGAUCUUCGCGUGGGAUUCCCAGGAAGUCCAGCCCGAGCUGAUUCACAGAACAAAUGCAUGCAAACCUUGCUAUCAAUAAACUACACACGCACUUAUGUAAAACACAUAAAAA